AAUAGAACAUUUAUUCUUUCUAUAUGGAUAGAAAUAGUCAUGACUAAGACUACUCUAAUACCUAUAAGCACGUUGUUGUAAUAUGUGAAGUCUUGCUUGAGAAUGCUCCGCGCACCUAACUGUAGAAGGAAGAAUGGAAAUUACAAUAACAAAAUCCUAAUUCUAAUAGAAUACUAACAAUGCUCUAAUUAGACUAUAAUAAUACUAAGCAAGCUUAAUCAAAUUCAAAAAAACCUCAAAGAAAUUUCAAACAAAUAAUAAGAAUUCUUAAAGAAAUAUUAGAAUGAUCACAAUUAUCACUCAAAUACAUCUCAAUUCAAUCUCAAUUUAAUUUUAGUUAAAAUUCUAUUGAACUUCAUUCAAAUUUUAGGCCAAAACUAAUUGAAUCUUAAAUCCUAAUAAAAUCCUAAACCUUGAAUCAAACCCUAAACAAACCUUAAAUCAAAUCCCAAUCAAAUCCUCAACCAAAUCCUAACCAAACCCUAAAUCAAAUCCUAAACCCUAAAUCAAAUCCUAACCAAAUCCUAAUCCAAAUCCUAAACCUUAAACCAAACCCUAAUCAAACCCUAAAUCCUAAAUAAAACCUUAACCAAAUCCUAAAUCCCAAAUGAAAUCCUAAUCAAAUCCUAAACCAAACCCUAAUCCAAACCCCAAAUCCUAAACCAAAUCCUAAAUCAAAUUCUAAUCCAAGUCCUAAAUAAAACCCUAAUUAAAUUCUAAAUCAAAUCCUAAUACAAACCUUAAAUCCUAAAUCAAAUCCUAACUAAACCCUAAAUCCUAAACCAAAUCCUAACCAAAUCCUAAAUCCUAAAAUAAACCCUAAUCCAAAUCCUAAACCCUAAACCAAAUUCUAA
rnacentral:lncRNA from 1 species